CCUACGGGAGGCAGCAGUGAGGAAUAUUGGUCAAUGGACGAGAGUCUGAACCAGCCAAGUCGCGUGAAGGAUGACUGCCCUAUGGGUUGUAAACUUCUUUUAUAAAGGAAUAAAACGAGGCACGUGUGCCUUUUUGCAUGUACUUUAUGAAUAAAGAUCGGCUAACUCCGUGCCAGCCGCCGCGGUAAUACGGAGGAUCCGAGCGUUAUCCGGAUUUAUUGGGUUUAAAGGGAGCGGCGAUGGGUUGGUAAGUCAGUUGUGAAAGUUUGCGGCUCAACCGUAAAAUUGCAAUUGAUACUGGCAGUCUUGAGUACAGGUGAGGUAGGCGGAAUUCGUGGUGUAGCGGUGAAAUGCUGAGAUAUCACGAAGAACCCCGAUUGCGAAGGCAGCUUACUAAACUGUGACUGACAUUGAUGCUCGAAAGUGUGGGUAUCAAACAGGAUUAGAUACCCCUGUAGUC
rnacentral:rRNA from 1 species